rnacentral:tRNA from 1 species
UCCCUGGUGGUCUAGUGGUUAAGACUCUGUGCUCCCAAUGUGGGGAGCCCAGGUUCAAUCCCUGAUCAGGGAA